UACGUAGGGUGCGAGCGUUGUCCGGAAUUAUUGGGCGUAAAGAGCUCGUAGGCGGUCUGUCGCGUCGGUCGUGAAAACUUGGGGCUUAACCCUGAGCUUGCGGUCGAUACGGGCAUGACUGGAGUUCGGCAGGGGAGACUGGAAUUCCUGGUGUAGCGGUGAAAUGCGCAGAUAUCAGGAGGAACACCGGUGGCGAAGGCGGGUCACUGGACUGGUACUGACGCUGAGGCGCGAAAGCGUGGGGAGCAAACGGG
rnacentral:rRNA from 1 species